CAGAGGGACACGUCAUCCAGUAGGAGCUGCACGACCUCUGCACUGUUCAACCACUGUGUCAGUCAUAACUGCUGCACUGAACAGAACAAUUCUCAGACUGAAUGUUGAACAUCAGCCUCUUUCUCCUCUUGACUUCAACCUUGUUGUAGAGAUGGAUCAUUGGCUGUGGAUUAUUCUGGCUGCUCUUUGCUACGAGUGUAAAGGAGAAGACAGAGUGAUCCAGACAACAGGAGACGUCACUGCUACUGAAGGAGACGCUCUUACGCUCAACUGUACAUUUGAGACCAGUUACACUGGUUACACAUUGUUCUGGUACAAACAAGAAGUACACAAUUCUCCAAAGUACAUGUUGAAGUGUUUCUCAAAAUCAGUGGACAACGCCCCAGAGUUUCCAAAAAAAAGAUUUGAUGCUGCAAUUGAAGGGACAUCAGUUCCUCUGAAGAUCCAGAAGCUUCAAGUGUCUGACUCUGCUGUGUACUACUGUGCUCUGAGGCCCACAGUGACAGGAAACACCUCAACUCUGUACAAAAACCUCUGGAGCAAAGACAACACAAUGCUCCACAGCAUCCACCAG